rnacentral:rRNA from 1 species
GCCAUGUGGAGGUCAUUGUAGCAAUACAAGGGCAUACGGCUCAGUAACACGUAGCUCUAUCUAACCUAUGGACGUGGAUAACCUCGGGAAACUGAGAAUAAUCCGCGAUAGAUCAUAAUUCCUGGAACGGUUUAUGGUCCAAAUGAUUCGUCGCCAUAGGAUGGGACUGCGGCCUAUCAGCUUGUUGGUGAGGUAAUGGCUCACCAAGGCUAUUACAGGUACGGGCUCUGAGAGGAGAAGCCCGGAGAUGGGUACUGAGACACGGACCCAGGCCCUAUGGGGCGCAGCAGGCGAGAAACCUUUGCAAUGUGCGCAAGCACGACAAGGUUAAUCCGAGUGUUUCCUGCUAAAGGAAUCUUUUGUUAGUUCUAAAACCACUGAUGAAUAAGAGGUGGGCAAGUUCUGGUGUCAGCCGCCGCGGUAAAACCAGCACCUCAAGUGGUCAGGAGGAUUAUUGGGCCUAAAGCAUCCGUAGCCGGUUCUGUAAGUUUUCGGUUAAAUCCACUAGCUUAACUAAUGGGCUGCCGAAAAUACUGCAGAACUAGGGAGUGGGAGGGGUAGACGGUACUCGGUAGGAAGGGGUAAAAUCCUUUGAUCUAUUGAUGACCACCUGUGGCGAAGGCGGUCUACCAGAACACGUUCGACGGUGAGGGAUGAAAGCUGGGGGAGCAAACCGGAUUAGAUACCCGGGUAGUCCCAGCUGUAAACGAUGCANACUCGGUGAUGCACUGGCUUGUGGCCGUGCANUGC